GAAGCUCUGACUGUCAUCCUUCACGAAAGGUGGGAAGGGUCCCGGGAAUGCAGCGGGACUGGGGAUCCUGGCGCGGUGGGACCCCGCGGGGAGAGGCCGUGAGUGUGGGGUCCGUGUCCCUGGCCCAGGCCGGCCGCGCGCGAGCUCUGGGAUGGCCCUGUCUUCAGGGCUGGCUUCAGACCAGCCAGGCCUGGUCUCAACACUCCUUGCAUUUUCGAGAAACCUGACUGAGUGCCUUGCAUUUUUGGAGAAACCUGACUGAGUGCCUUCUAGAUGGGCGCUGCCAGCAGUUACUGCUGGAUCCCUCUCCCGAUACACACGCUCUGCAGGGUUGCUGAACCCCAUGUUGUCCCGAGCCACUCGAUGGCUUCUGGAGGAUGGUCCUUUCUUUACCCACAAGUGCCUCUCUCGAGAGGUGCCCAGAUGGCCAGCAUCCCAUUCCAAUGAGCUCUUCUGGGCUGUGCCCAGUUCGGCGGUUAGGGACGUGGGCAGAUUUACACUCUCAAGAGGAUGUGUUUUACACUCGCAAUGUCCCCACACUCCUAGCAGCCCUCGGCUUUUGCUAGAAAAGGGAGUUUAGUGGGGAAACUUCGUGGACAAAAUGCCACCGCAAAGUUAGGGCAAGCUAAAGCAGAACUGGCCUAGAGAAAACAACCUCUGAGGACAGGUGAGUAGAACUGAGAUAUAGCUGAAUGCACAACACUGUAAUCUGCGUCUCCCCGGGCAGAUGGGAAUCCUGACCGAGGAAUAAGAUGGGAAAAACAAGACUGCUCAGACCCAAGAUGAGUGUAUUCUAGAACAGGCUGGCUAGGGUGUGCUGUUAUCCAGUGCACACCGACAACCCCGUUCCACUCAGGAUUAUGUGCAACGAUGGUGCCAGGGAGCCCAGAAGCAACAUCUAGAAAGAAUGUAAAUUCCUACAGUUUGGGUACCAAUGAGUAGGAACUCCUAGAGUGUUCCACCCCAACCUAGGUGCUGUCACUUUGCCGUUUACACCCUGCUUGGCUUGUGGGGACAAGCACGGAUUGAUGCUUCCAAGCAUGAACUACCUGGCCCUGAAAGUGGUGAAUGGGAUGGGCUGAAGUGAAGGGUGGUUUAGUGAGCAGCGUCAGGAAUAUUCACCCUAGAAAGGAGCCCCGCAUUAACCUUGUGUUCAAAACUGAGGAAGCGUAUCCCGGUAAAUACCAUUUCAUCUCUGGUGGAAUGAAAUGGUCGACAUGAAUUAUCCAGGCCGUGUUCAUGAGGAUUCACUGAACACACUCUGCCAGGGAUUGGGUAAACGGAAGUGGUCAUCCGCAUAAAGAAAC
rnacentral:lncRNA from 1 species